rnacentral:rRNA from 1 species
CACGUAGGGCGCAAGCGUUGUCCGGAAUUAUUGGGCGUAAAGAGCUCGUAGGCGGUCUGUUGCGUCCGCUGUGAAAACUCGGGGCUUAACCCCGAGCCUGCAGUGGAUACGGGCAGACUAGAGGUAGGUAGGGGAGAAUGGAAUUCCCGGUGUAGCGGUGAAAUGCGCAGAUAUCGGGAGGAACACCGAUGGCGAAGGCAGAUCUCUGGGCCGUAACUGACGCUGAGGAGCGAAAGCAUGGGGAGCGAACAGG